rnacentral:rRNA from 1 species
AGAGUUUGAUCAUGGCUCAGAUUGAACGCUGGCGGCAGGCCUAACACAUGCAAGUCGAACGGUAACAUUUCUAGCUUGCUAGAAGAUGACGAGUGGCGGACGGGUGAGUAAUGCUUGGGAACUUGCCUUUGCGAGGGGGAUAACAGUUGGAAACGACUGCUAAUACCGCAUAAUGUCUACGGACCAAACGGGGCUCUUAGCUCCGGCGCAAAGAGAGGCCCAAGUGAGAUUAGCUAGUUGGUAAGGUAAUGGCUUACCAAGGCAACGAUCUCUAGCUGUUCUGAGAGGAAGAUCAGCCACACUGGAACUGAGACACGGUCCAGACUCCUACGGGAGGCAGCAGUGGGGAAUAUUGCACAAUGGGGGAAACCCUGAUGCAGCCAUGCCGCGUGUGUGAAGAAGGCCUUCGGGUUGUAAAGCACUUUCAGUUGUGAGGAAAAGUUAGUAGUUAAUACCUGCUAGCCGUGACGUUAACAACAGAAGAAGCACCGGUUAACUCCGUGCCAGCAGCCGCGGUAAUACGGAGGGUGCGAGCGUUAAUCGGAAUUACUGGGCGUAAAGCGCACGCAGGCGGUUUGUUAAGCUAGAUGUGAAAGCCCCGGGCUCAACCUGGGAUAGUCAUUUAGAACUGGCAGACU